CUCUGCCCUGUGAGGACAUGGUGUCCAUCCUCUCUGGAGGAUGUUGCAACAAGGUGCCUUUUGGACACAGAAAUCAGCCCUCCCAGACCCCAGAUCUGCAGGUGCCUUUGUCCUGGUCCUCCCAGUCCCUGAAACAUGGGAGGCAAAUUUCUAUGGUUCAAGGUACUUUGUGGCAGCAGCAAAAACACCCUCUCCCUUCUGACUCUCGGUUGGAGAAUCUGCUGAUCCUGCGUGGAGCGGCCAAGCAGACUCCGUGGUCCGUGGAAGCUCAGCCCCUCGCGUGACGGGAUCAGGCGUGAAACACCUGCUCUGACCAGCAUGGGGUGUUCCCAUCUUCCAGCGAGGACUCUGACAAGGUGGUCUCUCUGGUGCCAAAACCAGAAAUAAUGAGACACAAAUAACAAUGCACAACUCAUGGGCUUAACGCUUGAGGUGGCCGUGCUUCUUCAUCUGUGAGGAGCCACUUGAGAGUCUCAUUUCCAUUCUUUGCUUUUGAGAAGAUGGGUGUGGGGUCGAAUUUGGAGCAGCUCAAAGGGGUGCUCUCGCCCCGCUCCCCGACCUGUGCCUGACCUCCUGACACUGGUCUCCUCUUGACUGGGGGAAGUGCCUGCCUCCACUGAUGUGAGCCUGGGGCCCUGAGUCCAUUGUGGGUCCUGCUGUCCAGCCCCUUCCCUGUACUGGCCUUGUCACCCCCAACACUGCUCCUCACCCAACACCAGCUUCUCCCCAUCCCGGGAGCAUGACGCUCGUGCAGGCACCUGGUGGGCCACAGGCCACAGGCGUGUGGCCAAGGGGGCCAGGAAAGAGAUGCAUGUGGGGGAGGCACAGCUCUGCUUACCAAGGCAGAAGCCGUGAGACCUCAGUGCUGUGGAAAGCCUGGAGAACCUCACUAGGCUUCCCAGGUUAAACCUGACCAUCUAAACCAAAGACCCAAGAUCAGUUGCCCAUUGCUGCGCCCCCCAAAGAGAGAUGCUGUUUCCACAAGCCUCCUGUGGCCACGCGGGUCCUGGAGACACAUGUCCAACCUCACAGUUCCCUGUGUCCGGCCAGCAGCCAUCAGGACCAUUCCUAGAGCCCCUGAGGAUGACCCACCAUCCUUCCCUGCAGUGGGGGGAGCUCAUCUGGCUUCCUUGUCUCAGCUUCUCUUUGUCAGACCCCACUGAAGGAGCUGGAAAGAUCUGGCUUUUUAAUUUUAGGAUCAAAGAAAUUUCCAGUCAUUCAUGGCAGAGAAUGGGAAGAAACGGGCUUUGAGAUAUUAGGGGACUCAGCCUUUGUGAAGCCGAGUGUGCACAGAUCCUCCUUGUACCAUGAGAGGAGCCAUCGGGGCUGUGUCUGAACUGCCAGGAUUUACCAAGUGCACACUGAGCGUGGUGUUCAAACGUCAGCUGGUCUGCUCCACGUGGUGGCGUGGACGGUGCUGUUGGGUGGUAGAGAACCCUAACUCUGGGUACUGAGAAGGAUCUGCGUCUCAUCAGUUACGAUGAUGUAACUGAGAGAGGUGGCUGGUAAGGAAAAGGCUGAGGGCUGCCACCUUCCGUUUGCCUUCUAAGUUUGAUAGAAUAAAAAAUAAAGGUUUCAAUACAUUAUCUAAAAUUGUAUGUAUUACAUAUCAUUAUAAUAUAAAUAUGAUGAAAAUUGGAGAAGUAUCACUUUUUUUUUUUUUUUUUUGAGACAGAGUCUCAUUAUGUUGCCCUGGGUAGAGUGCUGUGGCAUCACAGCUCACAGCCACCUCCAACUCUUGGGGUCAAGUGAUCCUCUUGCCUCAGCCUCCCGUAGCUGGGACUAUAAGUGCCUGCCACAACGCCCGGCUAUUUUUUGUUGCAGUUGUCAUUGUUGUUUAGCUGGCCUGGGCCGGGUUCGAACCUGCCAGGCUCGGUGUCUAUGGCUGGUGCCAUAACCACAGUGCUACGGGUGUUGAGGCAAGUAUCACAUUUUAAUGAAUCAAUAGAUAUUUUCUAGAAUUGAAAAUCUAGAGAAUUAAAAGUUUUAAGAUACACUAAAAGCAAGAAAUGUAAAAUCUGCGUGGGUGGAAACAAAUGAAGCCCUCCCAGCAACACUGAUGCCGAACGCCGUGAACCCUGGACGGCUGACUCAGAAAGGACCUAUAGUCUGUGUCUCUUGGAAGUGAAAUAACGGACUGGAGCACACUCUUUGUCAAAACUUUUGUACUGACCCAGGUAGAACCACUGUGUUUAGUGGUGAGUGUUUAGAAGAGGCUGCUUUUGGGAGUGGAGAGGCGGGCAGGGUGGCGGAGAUGGUUGCUUCUCAUUUAUUGGUUUUCCCUUAUUUGAAUCUUUAUCAAAUCUACCCUGUUCGUAAGUACAUGUUUCUGCAUUAACGCUUCUCACAGUGACUAAAACAUGGUCUCUGUUUCAUAAGUGGAAAGCACUUUCCAUGAGCUAAUUGCUGUGAAUGAGUUGGUAUCCCACCUAAAAUAAGGUGGGGUGGGGGGACAGGGGUCAUGUUUCAUCUCAGAAUAGGUUGCAUUUUGUACCUAGAACAGGAUGCACCCUCUCGGAGUUCCCUGGCAUUCGCUUGAGUAACUGAACUAGAAUGAGAGUGAAUAGCACAUCCACUUUAGGUAAAUGAACAUGGACAUGAACAUUUAAAAAUACUUCUAUUAGCAAUUUUGCACAUUUCUUCCUCAUCUUUUAAAAAUCUAUAUGUUUAUUAAAUCUUCCAUUUACAAUGGAAAA